rnacentral:rRNA from 1 species
AUUGAACGCUGGCGGCGUGCUUAACACAUGCAAGUCGAACGUGAAAGUCCUUCGGGAUGAGUAAAGUGGCGCACGGGUGAGUAACGCGUGGAUAAUCUGCCUUUCAGAUGGGGAUAACGGCUGGAAACGGUCGCUAAUACCGAAUACGCUUCCGAUUUUAUCAUGUGAGGGAAAGAUGGCCUCUGCUUGCAAGCUAUCCCUGAAAGAUGAGUCCGCGUCCCAUUAGCUAGUUGGUGGGGUAACGGCCUACCAAGGCAACGAUGGGUAGCCGGUCUGAGAGGAUGACCGGCCACACUGGGACUGGAACACGGCCCAGACUCCUACGGGAGGCAGCAGUGGGGAAUAUUGCGCAAUGGGCGAAAGCCUGACGCAGCGACGCCGCGUGAGGGAUGAAGGUCUUCGGAUCGUAAACCUCUGUCAGGAGGGAAGAACCAUCUCUGUGUGAAUAAUGCAGAGGUCUGACGGUACCUUCAAAGGAAGCACCGGCUAACUCCGUGCCAGCAGCCGCGGUAA